rnacentral:lncRNA from 1 species
AUAAUAAUUUAAUUCUAAUUAAAAUCUUAAUUAAAAUCCUAAUUAACUUCGAUCAAAUUCUAAGUCAAAUUCUAAUGAAAUCCAAAUGAACCUUAAUCAAGUUUUGGAUGAAAUCUUAAUGAAAUCCUAAUAAACUUUGACCACAUUCUAGAUCAAUUCUUAAUAAAAUCCUAAUAAAAUCCUAAAUUCUAGUCAAAUCCUAAUCAAAUCCUAAAUUCUAAUCAAAUCCCAAAUUCUUACCAAAUCCCAAAUUCUUACCAAAUCCUAAAUCCUAGACCAAUCCUAUUAAAAUCCUAGCAAAAUCAUUAACCCGACUAAAUCCUAAAUCCUACACUAACUCUAAGAAAAUUCUAAAUAAAUCUUAA